UGCCAGCCGCCGCGGUAAUACGAAGGUCCCGAGCGUUAUUCGGAAUCACUGGGCGUAAAGGGAGCGUAGGCUGCGCGGUAAGUCAGAUGUGAAAUCUCAGGGCUCAACCUUGAAACUGCAUCCGAUACUGCCGCGCUAGAGUAAUGGAGAGGUAAGUGGAAUUCUCGGUGUAGCAGUGAAAUGCGUAGAUAUCGAGAGGAAGACCAAUGGCGAAGGCAGCUUACUGGACAUUUACUGACGCUGAGGCUCGAAGGCUAGGGUAGCGAAAGGGAUUAGAUA
rnacentral:rRNA from 1 species